rnacentral:rRNA from 1 species
CUAGGAAUCUUGCGCAAUGAGGGAAACCUUGACGCAGCGACGCCGCGUGCGGGAUGAAGGCCUUCGGGUUGUAAACCGCUUUCAGCAGGGAAGCGGUACCUGCAGAAGAAGCCCCGGCCAACUACGUGCCAGCAGCCGCGGUAAUACGUAGGGGGCGAGCGUUGUCCGGAAUUAUUGGGCGUAAGGAGCUCGUAGGCGGUUCGGCAAGUCGGAAGUGAAAGCUCCAGGCUCAACCUGGAGAGGCCUUUCGAUACUGCCGGACUAGAAUCCGGUAGAGGAGUGUGGAAUUCCCGGUGUAGCGGUGAAAUGCGCAGAGAUCGGGAGGAACACCAGUAGCGAAGGCGGCACUCUGGGCCGGUAUUGACGCUGAGGAGCGAAAGCGUGGGGAGCAAACAGGAUUAGAUACCCCGGUAGU